AUAGGAAGAUAAAAGGCAUCUUUUAUCUUUUAAAAGACCUAGUAAUAGGUAUGCUUUAGGAGGGGCUUGCGCCAUAUUAGUUAGUUGGUAGGGUAGUGGCCUACCAAGACGAUGAUGUGUAGCUGGACUGAGAGGUUGAACAGCCACAUUGGGACUGAGACACGGCCCAAACUCCUACGGGAGGCAGCAGUAGGGAAUUUUCGGCAAUGGAGGAAACUCUGACCGAGCAACGCCGCGUGAAUGACGAAGUACUUCGGUAUGUAAAGUUCUUUUAUCAAGGAAGAAAAGCAAAUGGCGAACCAUUUGUUUGCCGGUACUUGAUGAAUAAGCCCCGGCUAAUUAUGUGCCAGCAGCCGCGGUAAGACAUAAGGGGCAAGUGUUAUCCGGAAUUAUUGGGCGUAAAGGGUGCGUAGGCGGUCUAGUAAGUCAGUGGUGUAAUGGCAACGCUUAACGUUGUCCGGCUAUUGAAACUGCUAAACUUGAGUUAGAUAGAGGCGAGUGGAAUUCCAUGUGUAGCGGUAAAAUGCGUAAAUAUAUGGAGGAACACCAGAGGCGUAGGCGGCUCGCUGGGUCUUAACUGACGCUGAGGCACGAAAGCGUGGGGAGCAAACAGGAUUAGAUACCCUGGUAGUCCACGCCGUAAACGAUGGGUACUAAGUGUCGGGUUAAACCGGUACUGAAGUUAACACAUUAAGUACUCCGCCUGAGUAGUACGUACGCAAGUAUGAAACUUAAAGGAAUUGACGGGACUCCGCACAAGCGGUGGAUCAUGUUGUUUAAUUCGAAGAUACCCGAAAAACCUUACCAGGUCUUGACAUGUUUUUGCAAAAUGAUAGUAAUAUCGUGGAGGUUACCAGAAACACAGGUGGUGCAUGGUUGUCGUCAGCUCGUGUCGUGAGAUGUUAGGUUAAGUCCUAAAACGAGCGAAACCCUUAUCGUUAGUUGCCAGCACGUUAUGGUGGGGACUUUAACGAGACUGCCAAUGAUAAAUUGGAGGAAGGUGAGGAUCACGUCAAAUCAGCAUGCCCCUUAUGACCUGGGCUACAAACGUGAUACAAUGGCUGUUACAAAGGGUAGCUGAAACGCAAGUUCUUGGCCAAUCCCCAAAAACAGUCCCAGUCCGGAUUGAAGUCUGCAACUCGACUUCAUGAAGUUGGAAUCGCUAGUAAUCGCGAAUCAGCAUGUCGCGGUGAAUACGUUUA
rnacentral:rRNA from 1 species